UGCGUGGCAUGACUUGGCAGAACAGGAGCACCCCCUCCUCUCCCACAGUUCCUGCUCAAUUGUUCCUACAAAGGAGAGAAGAAUCAACGGGUACAGACAGCAUCGAAACAUUAAUAACUCGGAUAAGUGCCCAGUUGACUUUGAGAUGAGGUGGCUUCUGGACUGCAGUGCAAAUGAAUUUGCCAAACACUCCAUGGACUGAGAUUGGUAUGGCAACCUACUAAGCUGCUAAGGGGAAAGAGUUUCCAUGAACAUUCCUGCUUUAGCAGGAGGAGCACUAAUACACAUUUUAAGUCUGAAAUAGAAAUUGUUAUAAAGUUUCCAGCCAACAGUUUUGUUUCUCCAAGGGACGCGGUACAAGUCCACAGGAACACAAGAGUUGUGAAUUACUGAUUGCAUACCAGUGUGUGUGCAGCAGGUAGCCAAUGGAUAUCCCAAGACCUGUCAAGGUUCUGCCUUUUACCAUUUUUUUUCAUUCAGUGAUGCUUUAGUUAAGGGCUGCCAAAGUUGCCAAGAAGAACAUGGUGUUUGAUAACCAGACACCUGCUCUGUAUUUUCUUCUGUGAUCCGCGUGAUGUCAGCAACACAGCUUACUAUGAAUGGAGAUUUGUAUUCCUGAUUGGGUAGUAAUUAGCUCUUUUUACAUGUAGUAUCUUUUUUAAGACAACUCAGUAGGUGUGUUAUUAAUUUGCUCAUUACUAG
ensembl:lncRNA